UACGAAGGGGGCUAGCGUUGCUCGGAAUCACUGGGCGUAAAGCGCACGUAGGCGGAUUGUUAAGUCAGGGGUGAAAUCCUGGAGCUCAACUCCAGAACUGCCUUUGAUACUGGCGAUCUCGAGUCCGGGAGAGGUGAGUGGAACUGCGAGUGUAGAGGUGAAAUUCGUAGAUAUUCGCAAGAACACCAGUGGCGAAGGCGGCUCACUGGCCCGGUACUGACGCUGAGGCGCGAAAGCCAGGGGAGCAAACGGG
rnacentral:rRNA from 1 species